UGCGGUUAUACAAAAAUUAAAUUAAUUUUUUUUAGGAUUUAAUAAAUAAAAAAAAAUAUAAAUAAUUUUAAAUUUUAAAUUAUAAAGUGAAAUUUUAAAUUUAAAUAAAAUUUAUUUAUUUUUAUGAUAUUAAUAAAUUUUAUAAAAAACUAGGAUUAGAUACCCUAUUAUAAAAAUUUAAAUUUAAUAAUCUUAAAAUAGUAUAUAAUUUUUAUAGAAACUUAAAUAAUUUGGCGGUAUUUUAGUUCAUUUAGAGGAAUCUGUCUAAUAAUUGAUAAUCCACGAUUAAAUUUACUUAAUUUUUAAUUUUGUAUAUCGUUGUUAAAAAAAUAUUUUCAAAUAAUUAUAAUAUUUUAAAAUUUAAAUCAGAAAUUAAAUCAGAUCAAGAUGCAGAUUAUAAUUAAGAAUAUGAUGGAUUACAAUAAAUUUUAUUUUAUUUGAAUAUUAAUUUGGAAUAAAUUAAUUGAAAUUGGAUUUAAAUGUAAUUUUAUUUAUUUUGUUAAAAUGAUUAAAAAUUAAAAUAUGUACAUAUUGCCCGUCGCUUUCAUUUAUAAAUUGAAAUAAGUCGUAACAAAGUAGAGGUACUGGAAAGUGUUUCUAGAAAGAA
rnacentral:rRNA from 1 species